GCGUGAGUGAUGAAGGCCUUAGGGUUGUAAAGCUCUUUUACCAGGGAUGAUAAUGACAGUACCUGGAGAAUAAGCUCCGGCUAACUCCGUGCCAGCAGCCGCGGUAAUACGGAGGGAGCUAGCGUUGUUCGGAAUUACUGGGCGUAAAGAGUACGUAGGCGGUGAUUCAAGUCAGAGGUGAAAGCCUGGAGCUCAACUCCAGAACUGCCUUUGAAACUAGAUCGCUAGAAUUAUGGAGAGGUAGUGGAAUUCCGAGUGUAGAGGUGAAAUUCGU
rnacentral:rRNA from 1 species